AGAGUUUGAUCCUGGCUCAGGAUGAACGCUGGCGGUAUGCUUAACACAUGCAAGUCGAACGGUGUCUUCGGACACAGUGGCGGACGGGUGAGUAACGCGUGAGAAUCUGGCUUCAGGUCUGGGACAACCACUGGAAACGGUGGCUAAUACCGGAUGUGCCGAGAGGUGAAAGGUUAACUGCCUGAAGAUGAGCUCGCGUCUGAUUAGCUAGUAGGUAGUGUAAUGGACUACCUAGGCGACGAUCAGUAGCUGGUCUGAGAGGACGAUCAGCCACACUGGGACUGAGACACGGCCCAGACUCCUACGGGAGGCAGCAGUGGGGAAUUUUCCGCAAUGGGCGAAAGCCUGACGGAGCAAUACCGCGUGAGGGAGGAAGGCUCUUGGGUCGUAAACCUCUUUUCUCAGGGAAGAACACAAUGACGGUACCUGAGGAAUAAGCAUCGGCUAACUCCGUGCCAGCAGCCGCGGUAAUACGGAGGAUGCAAGCGUUAUCCGGAAUGAUUGGGCGUAAAGCGUCCGCAGGUGGCUGUGUAAGUCUGCUGUUAAAGAGUCUAGCUCAACUAGAUACAAGCAGUGGAAACUACACGGCUAGAGUACGUUCGGGGCAGAGGGAAUUCCUGGUGUAGCGGUGAAAUGCGUAGAGAUCAGGAAGAACACCGGUGGCGAAGGCGCUCUGCUAGGCCGUAACUGACACUGAGGGACGAAAGCUAGGGGAGCGAAUGGGAUUAGAUACCCCAGUAGUCCUAGCCGUAAACGAUGGAUACUAGGCGUGGCUUGUAUCGACCCGAGCCGUGCCGUAGCUAACGCGUUAAGUAUCCCGCCUGGGGAGUACGCCGGCAACGGUGAAACUCAAAGGAAUUGACGGGGGCCCGCACAAGCGGUGGAGUAUGUGGUUUAAUUCGAUGCAACGCGAAGAACCUUACCAAGGCUUGACAUGUCGCGAAUCCUGGUGAAAGCCGGGAGUGCCUUCGGGAGCGCGAACACAGGUGGUGCAUGGCUGUCGUCAGCUCGUGUCGUGAGAUGUUGGGUUAAGUCCCGCAACGAGCGCAACCCUCGUUUUUAGUUGCCAGCAUUAAGUUGGGCACUCUAGAGAGACUGCCGGUGACAAACCGGAGGAAGGUGGGGAUGACGUCAAGUCAGCAUGCCCCUUACGCCUUGGGCUACACACGUACUACAAUGCUCCGGACAGAGGGCAGCAAGCCAGCGAUGGCAAGCAAAUCCCGUAAACCGGAGCUCAGUUCAGAUCGCAGGCUGCAACUCGCCUGCGUGAAGGAGGAAUCGCUAGUAAUUGCAGGUCAGCAUACUGCAGUGAAUUCGUUCCCGGGCCUUGUACACACCGCCCGUCACACCAUGGAAGCUGGUAGUGCCCGAAGUCAUUACUCCAACCUUUCGGGGGGGAGGAUGCCUAAGGCAGGACUGGUGACUGGGGUGAAGUCGUAACAAGGUAGCCGUACCGGAAGGUGUGGCUGGAUCACCUCCUUUUUAGGGAGACCUACACCCCUCAGAAAUCGAAAAACAUACAGUUAAAUAGAUACUGAGUUGGUCUAACCUAGGUCGGUCGAGAAUUGGUAUAAAGCUUUCAAAGUAUUAAUGGUUCGGUAUAUGAAAUAUAAGCAAAAUGAUUGAGAGACCAGCAACAUGACUUAUGUCAGACUGCUGAGUUGAUCUCAGCCAGAACCUUGAAAACUGCAUAGUAACGCGAAAUUAGCAGGCAGACACAGACAUUCUUUAUGGAUGUUGUAGUGAAUGCAAAAUGUGAAACACCAAAUGUAUUGAGUGGUCAAGCUAAUAAGGGCUAACGGUGGAUACCUAGGCACACAGAGGCGAAG
rnacentral:rRNA from 1 species